UCAGAGUAUUAGUUGAUAAGUCAUUAGUCACGAUUUCUAGCAGCGGGCUGCUUCAAGUGCAUGACUUGAUUCAAGCAAUGGCAAAGGAAAUUGUACGCGAAGAAUCUAACAGGCCCCUGGAUCGGAGCAGAUUGCGGCUUGUGUUAGAUGUUGUCGAUGUAUUGAGUAAAAAUAAGGUAACACAAGCCAUUGAAGUUCUAGUCCUUAUGCUACAGAAGUCGUUUCAGAAAGUUCACAUAGACUGUAACUCUUUUUCUAGUACGAAUAAUUUAUGAAUCCUCAAAAUUUGUGAUCUAGAAUUGGAAGACUCUGAGCAUGUAUUUGAAUCAGAGUUGGCCAAGGACUCGAAGGUGAACUACUCUGGAAGUUCGGAAUAUUUGUCCAAUGAACUACGUAUGCUUUAUUGGCAUAGAUACCCUUUCAAGUCGCUACCAUCAGAUUUUUAUCCAGAAAACGUUGUUGCCAUUGACAUGUCUUACGGUUACCUCAAAUAUCUUUGGACAACACCAAGGUACAAUCUUAGACAAUCCCAGAUCGUAGUGUAAGCUAGUUCACCACAGAUCGAGUAAAUGGCGACAAAUUUCUAAUUUUUAUAUUAUCAUAACUCACGAACCAAACUUAAGAAGAUCACCAAUGUGGGUGGUCGAGCAUGGUGGAGCUCUGUGUUGAUGAAACUGCCAUGAAGGACCUUGUCCCUUUUCAAUCAUUGUUGAGUAAUAUCCCAGCGGAUUCACUUAGAGAGCAUGAGGGGACCCGAUGGCCUCGAUCAAGAUGAUGGACUUCAACCUUUUGGCCUAAGUCUUUACCACGAAACAUUCCAACACCCCUCCAGUUUGAGAAGUAAUUACAUAGGUAUUGCAUAUUGUGCUCCACGGAAUUAGAAUUCCUCAAUGGUUUACAAAUCAAAGUACAGGAAAUCAUGUAAAGGUAGAGUUGCCUCCUGGUUGGUUGUACAAUAAGUUUAGGGGGGAUAUGGAACGUGUGUUGUUUUCACGGCCAAAAAUCUGUAUCAUAGUUCAUUAAGCCACUUAACAUGCAAAGUAAGAGACGUUUGGAGAUAUUGUCCAUUGUGACGGUGUAGGUCUAGGGACCAUUUUCCCUGUAGAAACUAUAAGAAUUGCUGGGUCAGAUAUAAUAUGGUUUCAUUAUUCAGAGUCAACAAUAGGCUGGAAAAAUAUAAAUAAUUUCAUAGCGUUGCAUUCACUUCUAGUGCGGAUGUUGAAGUAAAGUAGUGUGGUGUAAGACUUGUUUGUGAAGAGGACAUACAAGAAGGCAGCAAUUUGAGUAUGUUCCAUGGCCUCCCAUCUCUAAGACAAGGCAUUUCCUUCCACUCCAAUCAUGCAGGAUCUCAGACACCAUUGAAGAUGAGCCUCCUUGUAAGAGAAACUGUCUUGUUUGAUAAAUGUGGUCUUCCAGUUGAAAAGAUCUGUACUUUUGUGAAUUGUGUUUGAGGAUCAACAGAUCAUUUGUUAACCUCGCCCAAUAUCAACUUGACUUUGCAGACUUUCUGCACUAUUUCAUAUUUUAUUUGAUUUUUCUUUUAACUCUCAA